GUGGGGAAUCUUCCGCAAUGGACGAAAGUCUGACGGAGCGACGCCGCGUGAGUGAAGAAGGCCUUCGGGUCGUAAAGCUCUGUCAUCAGGGACGAACGGCCGGUGGAGUGGAAAGCCACCGGAUUGACGGUACCUGAGAAGGAAGCCACGGCUAACUACGUGCCAGCAGCCGCGGUAAUAAGUAGGUGGCAAGCGUCGUCCGGAAUUAUUGGGCGUAAAGCGCGCGCAGGUGGGUUCGUACGUCCAUUUUUGAAGUUCGGAGGUCAACUCCGUGAUGGGAUGGAAACUGGGAUUCUUGAGUACCGGGGAGGAGAGCGGAAUUCCCCGUGUAGCGGUGAAAUGCGUAGAUAUGGGGAGGAACACCAGUGGCGAAGGCGGCUUUCUGGACGGUGUCUGACACUGAGGCGCGAAAGCCAGGGGAGCGAACGGGAUUAGAAACCCUAGUAGUCC
rnacentral:rRNA from 1 species